ACGGGGUGGCAGCAGGCGCGAAACCUUUACACUGCACGCCAGUGCGAUAAGGGGACUCCGAGUGCGAGGGCAUAUAGUCCUCGCUUUUCACCACCGUAAGGAGGUGGUAGAAUAAGUGCUGGGCAAGACCGGUGCCAGCCGCCGCGGUAAUACCGGCAGCACGAGUGAUGACCGCUAUUAUUGGGCCUAAAGCGUCCGUAGCUGGCCGUGCAAGUCUAUCGGGAAAUCUGCUCGCCUAACGAGCAGGCGUCCGGUGGAACCUGCAUGGCUUGGGACCGGAAGACCAGAGGGGUACGUCCGGGGUAGGAGUGAAAUCCCGUAAUCCUGGACGGACCACCGGUGGCGAAAGCGCCUCUGGAAGACGGAUCCGACGGUGAGGGACGAAAGCUCGGGUCACGAACCGGAUUAGAUACCCGGGUAGUCCGAGCUGUAAACGAUGUCUGCUAGAUGUGCCACAGGCUACGAGCCUGUGGUGUGUCGUAGGGAAGCCGUGAAGCAAACCGCCUGGGAAGUACGUCCGCAAGGAUGAAACUUAAAGGAAUUGGGGGGGGGAAAACACAAA
rnacentral:rRNA from 1 species